UACGGAGGGAGCUAGCGUUGUUCGGAAAUACUGGGCGUAAAGCGCACGUAGGCGGCGCAGCAAGUCAGGGGUGAAAUCCCGGGGCUCAACCUCGGAACUGCCCUUGAAACUGCAGUGCUAGAAUCUUGGAGAGGCGAGUGGAAUUCCGAGUGUAGAGGUGAAAUUCGUAGAUAUUCGGCGGAACACCAGUGGCGAAGGCGACUCACUGGCCCGAUACUGACGCUGAGGCGCGAAAGCGUGGGGAGCAAACAGG
rnacentral:rRNA from 1 species